rnacentral:rRNA from 1 species
GAUGAACGCUGGCGGCGUGCCUAAUACAUGCAAGUCGAGCGAACAGACGAGGAGCUUGCUCCUCUGACGUUAGCGGCGGACGGGUGAGUAACACGUGGAUAACCUACCUAUAAGACUGGGAUAACUUCGGGAAACCGGAGCUAAUACCGGAUAAUAUAUUGAACCGCAUGGUUCAAUAGUGAAAGACGGUUUUGAUGUCACUUAUAGAUGGAUCCGCGCCGCAUUAGCUAGUUGGUAAGGUAACGGCUUACCAAGGCAACGAUGCGUAGCCGACCUGAGAGGGUGAUCGGCCACACUGGAACUGAGACACGGUCCAGACUCCUACGGGAGGCAGCAGUAGGGAAUAUUCCGCAAUGGGCGAAAGCCUGACGGAGCAACGCCGCGUGAGUGAUGAAGGUCUUCGGAUCGUAAAACUCUGUUAUUAGGGAAGAACAAAUGUGUAAGUAACUAUGCACGUCUUGACGGUACCUAAUCAGAAAGCCACGGCUAACUACGUG